UAGGGAAUCUUCGGCAAUGGACGAAAGUCUGACCGAGCAACGCCGCGUGAGUGAAGAAGGUUUUCGGAUCGUAAAACUCUGUUGUUAGAGAAGAACAAGGACGUUAGUAACUGAACGUCCCCUGACGGUAUCUAACCAGAAAGCCACGGCUAACUACGUGCCAGCAGCCGCGGUAAUACGUAGGAGGCAAGCGUUGUCCGGAUUUAUUGGGCGUAAAGCGAGCGCAGGCGGUUUCUUAAGUCUGAUGUGAAAGCCCCCGGCUCAACCGGGGAGGGUCAUUGGAAACUGGGAGACUUGAGUGCAGAAGAGGAGAGUGGAAUUCCAUGUGUAGCGGUGAAAUGCGUAGAUAUAUGGAGGAACACCAGUGGCGAAGGCGGCUCGCUGGUCUGUAACUGACGCUCAGGUGCGAAAGCGUGGGGAGCAAACAGG
rnacentral:rRNA from 1 species